rnacentral:rRNA from 1 species
GACGAACGCUGGCGGCGUGCUUAACACAUGCAAGUCGAACGGUGAACCCGCUUCGGUGGGGGAUCAGUGGCGAACGGGUGAGUAACACGUGGGCAACCUGCCCCCGGCUCUGGGAUAACCCCAAGAAAUUGGGGCUAAUACCGGAUAUGACCGCUGACCGCAUGGUCCGGUGGUGGAAAGAUUUAUCGGCUGGGGAUGGGCCCGCGGCCUAUCAGCUUGUUGGUGGGGUAGUGGCCUACCAAGGCGACGACGGGUAGCCGGCCUGAGAGGGUGACCGGCCACACUGGGACUGAGACACGGCCCAGACUCCUACGGGAGGCAGCAGUGGGGAAUAUUGCGCAAUGGGCGGAAGCCUGACGCAGCGACGCCGCGUGGGGGAUGACGGCCUUCGGGUUGUAAACCUCUUUCAGCAGGGACGAAGCCGCGAGGUGACGGUACCUGCAGAAGAAGCACCGGCCAACUACGUGCCAGCCGCCGCGGUAAAAC